rnacentral:rRNA from 1 species
UAGGGAAUAUUGGGCAAUGGAGGCAACUCUGACCCAGCAAUGCCGCGUGAAUGAAGAAGGUUUUCGGAUUGUAAAGUUCUGUUCUAAGGGAAGAAUAAAAUGACGGUACCUUAGAAGAAAGCCACGGCAAACUACGUGCCAGCAGCCGCGGUAAUACGUAGGUGGCAAGCGUUGUCCGGAAUAACUGGGCGUAAAGGGAGUGUAGGUGGCUUAUUAAGUUAAAUGUGAAAUCCUUGGGCUUAACCCAAGAACUGCAUUUAAUACUGAUUAGCUAGAGUGCAGGAGAGGAUAGUGGAAUUCCUAGUGUAGCGGUAGAAUGCGUAGAUAUUAGGAGGAACAUCAGAGGCGAAGGCGGCUAUCUGGACUGUAACUGACACUGAGACUCGAAAGCGUGGGGAGCAAACA